UGCGGGAUACUCCCGAGGACCUUCGAAGAGUCAGGACAAAGAUUGAUGGAAAUCCGAUAAACAUCACAAAAUUUAAGCAAGUUGAUGUUGUUAGACAUCGGCCAGCAGGUGGUUACCAUAAAAACAAUGAGCCCACAUUCUUCAAAUCAGGUCCCAUUGAGGAUCUGAAGCAUGGCUUUCCUUUGAAGGUGAAACAUUUGAAUGACCUUAUUCCUUUUGAGAGAAAGAUGAUGGACUUAUCACACGAAAAUCAUAAGGGUGUGUUGUGAU